rnacentral:tRNA from 1 species
GCGGAAGUGGCGGAAUUGGUAGACGCACCAGAUUUAGGUUCUGGCGCCGUAAGGUGUGAGAGUUCAAGUCUCUCCUUCCGCACCC